rnacentral:tRNA from 1 species
GGAGGGCUAGACCUAAUUGGUAAGGCAGCGGUCUUGAAAACCGCCGCGCGCAAGCGCUUACAGGUUCGAAUCCUGUGCCCUCCG